CUACCCUCAAGCGCGGCUUGUGUGUUGGGCGCUGUCCCCCCGGGGACAGGCCUGAAAGGCAGUGGCGGCGUCGCGUCCGGUCCUCGAGCGUAUGGGGCUUUGUCACUCGCUCUGUGGGGUCCGGCCGGGGCCUGUCUUCUCACCCCCAAUCUUCUCUAA
rnacentral:misc_RNA from 1 species